rnacentral:rRNA from 1 species
GUACACGCUGUGACUAGCAUAUCAAUAAGCGGAGGAAAAGAAACUAACAAGGAUUCCCCUAGUAACGGCGAGUGAAGCGGGAAGAGCUCAAAUUUGAAAUCUUAAAGGGUUUCCCUUUACGAAUUGUAGUUUAAAGAAGUGUUUUCUGUUGAGGUUUUGGUAAAAGUUCUUUGGAAUAGGACAUCAUAGAGGGUGAGAAUCCCGUAUUUGACCUUUACUUUCAACUUUGUGAUACACUUUCAAAGAGUCGGAUUGUUUGGGAAUGCAGUCCAAAAUGGGUGGUAAAUUUCAUCUAAAGCUAAAUAUUGGCGAGAGACCGAUAGCGAACAAGUACCGUGAGGGAAAGAUGAAAAGAACUUUGAAAAGAGAGUUAAACAGUACGUGAAAUUGUCAAAAGGGAAGCGUUUGACACCAGUGUUGUUUUUCUGAAAAUCAAUUAAAGAACUGUUUAUGCUAAGCUGUUUAGACUUUAUCAGCUAAUCUGAUUAGUUUUGAGCUUUUCUUUAAUGCACUUUUCAGUUAACAAGUCAACAUCAAUUUCUUUUGCUGUAAAAAAGCUUGAGGAAGGUGGCUUGAGAUUCGUCUUAAGUGUUUAUAGCCUCUUGCCUAUGCAGUCGGAGAGAUUGAGGUCUGCAGCGUAGAUCCUUCGGGGCUAAAUGCAUUUGUGCUAAGUUAUAGCAUUUUAUAGACAACUUGUUGACUAUGAUUUGUCUUGUAGCUUACUCGCUUAUGUUAUUUUACCUACGCUUAGGAUGUUGACGCGCGUGUGUGCGUG